rnacentral:rRNA from 1 species
UACGUAGGGGGCAAGCGUUGUCCGGAAUCAUUGGGCGUAAAGAGCGCGUAGGCGGUCCGGUAAGUCCGCUCUGAAAGUCCGGGGGCUCAACCCCGGGAGGCGGGCGGAUACUGUCGGGCUAGAGUCCGGAAGAGGCGAGUGGAAUUCCUGGUGUAGCGGUGAAAUGCGCAGAUAUCAGGAGGAACACCGAUGGCGAAGGCGGCUCGCUGGGACGGUACUGACGCGUGAGGCGAGCCGGAAAGCGUUGGGGGAGCGAACAGGAU